ACACUCCUACGGGAGGCAGCAGUGGAGAAUAUUGCACAAUGGGCGCAAGCCUGAUGCAGCCAUGCCGCGUGUGUGAAGAAGGCCUUCGGGUUGUAAAGCACUUUCAGCGGGGAGGAAGGCGAUACGGUUAAUAACCGUGUUGAUUGACGUUACCCGCAGAAGAAGCACCGGCUAACUCCGUGCCAGCAGCCGCGGUAAUACGGAGGGUGCAAGCGUUAAUCGGAAUUACUGGGCGUAAAGCGCACGCAGGCGGUCUGUCAAGUCGGAUGUGAAAUCCCCGGGCUCAACCUGGGAACUGCAUUCGAAACUGGCAGGCUUGAGUCUUGUAGAGGGGGGUAGAAUUCCAGGUGUAGCGGUGAAAUGCGUAGAGAUCUGGAGGAAUACCGGUGGCGAAGGCGGCCCCCUGGACAAAGACUGACGCUCAGGUGCGAAAGCGUGGGGAGCAAACAGGAUUAGAAACCCUGGUAGUCCCA
rnacentral:rRNA from 1 species